rnacentral:lncRNA from 1 species
GUUGAGAAAAAUUCGUGAUCUGUCUUCAUACUUCCAAAUCUCUCACUCUUUCUAUCCUUGUAUUUUUUUUUUUAAUCAAUAAGUUAUUUCCUUUCAGGUGAAAUGUCAAACUUUCCAAUUCGAGAGAUUUUGGACAUAGAUGGAUUGCGGAUCCUCCGCCAAAUCCCUCCACCCCCACCCGGAAUGGACCGCAUUUUCACUUUGCGUUACGUACACAACGGAGGAUCGACGGCCAACACCUAUUUACGGUUUUCCAAUCCACAAGUGGAUGUCGGCGUGCAAACUGACCAGUUUCCGCCGCUUCCCGGGUCUUCAGCUCAAUCACCGCCACCGCCGCCACCUCCCGCUCCUGUCAUUCUUACGCCGUCGCCUAGUCUUCAAACGCCGCCACCGCCGCACCCCGUGUCGCUGGUUCAGCCACCACUUGCAAGAACUUCGAGUGGUUCUCAGCCUCAGCCUCCCGUUGCCUCUCUGUCCCGCGAACACUUCGUUGCGGGACGAGGCAGAGGUUACAUUAGUCCCCGUCUAAGCGGCAGAUUAGGACCUCAGCCCCAACACCAACAAGCUAAUCAGGUGCAGCGCCCCCAGGUCGCGGUAAGCCGCAGACGUUGUGUGUGGUGUGAUGCUCCACACACAAUCAUGCAAUGCCACGACUUAUUACGCCUUACGCCUCGCCAGCGCCGGAAUGCUCAACGCCGACGAGGGCGUUGCCCCAAUUGUUUAUCUACACACUCCAUCAACUUCUGCAACUCGCCGAAACGGUGUGCAGCACCCAAAUGCGGGCAAAAGCAUAAUACUUUGCUGCACGAGGGUCCUGGCGGGAUUUCCGCACGCUGUUCAUCCGAUGGAGCCAUUCAAGGUCUUCCACCGACCAGUUCCGAAGGACAACCGGCCUUGAUGGAACCAGCCUCGCCAGCAUCCUCCUCCACAACGGCAACAUCGUCAGCAACCCUUUCCACACCAGCAACCUCUGAAGCAACAACAGCAACAUCGUCAGCAACCCUUUCCACACCAGCAACCUCUGAAGCAACAACAUCCUCUUCAGCGGCCUCUCCCGAAAUAGCAGCUUCCUCAGCAGCAACCCCGUCCGCAGCUUCAACCUCGGUAGCUUUGUCCCAGCCUAUUCAAGGUAAAGAAACGCCACGCCUUAACGAGGACCGCUUGCGAGCUCGACAAACUGUCGGGAGGGCCAGAGGGUUGCCCCGAUACAGCUCCUCUUCUGAGGAAGCCUCCCCCGCUCCGGGCCGAUUCCCAGAUUUGGACGACCUCCUUCACUGGGAUGUCGACACGGAGCGGUUGUGGCUCGGUGACCCAGAUGAGGACCUGCAAUUUGACUCUGACGUCUCGCUGUGAGAUGUCAGAACGCCUCCAUUACACCACGCCAAUUUAAUUUUUAUUACGCCACGCCUUAUUAACGCCUUUUUAAAAGAAAAAAAACCAUUGCACCUUUUAUGCCUCAAUGGAGUAUUGUUGUUUUAUGUCCUUGAGUUUAAAGCCUUUUCCGCCGUCGCCUUAUAGCCUUUGGUAGUUAAAAUGACUUAUCGUCAUUUUAAGGGGGGGGAGAAUGAGCGCGUCGCCCUGGGAAGGGGGAGAGAGGGGAAGAGCACCGGAGUAAGCGCUACGUCACAGAUGUCCUGAAGGGGGCUGUCGCUCCUGAUUGGUCAGGAUCGCGACCUCUGCCCCACCUAGCGGGAGCUGCCGAAAACUGCACUUUUUCGGGAGCUCUCGGGUCAAGCACCGCCUCGCGAACCAGUUCGUCUCCAGCCAGCGUAUUAAGCUCCAGCCGUAGAUAUCUUUCGCAUCGCUGAUAGCCUUCCUUAGCCUGGAUAGUUUUUUCGACGCUUUUUGCUUUUGCUCCUCUUG